AGGGGCAUAGCGCAGUGGUAGAACACGUGCUUAUCAUGCACAAGGUCCUGGGUUCAAACCCCAGUACCUUCU
rnacentral:tRNA from 1 species